rnacentral:lncRNA from 1 species
UAUGGUGGCGCUUCAUGCCACAUCAAAAUUUUUGACUCAUUUUGUAGUUGACUGGCUUGAGCGAGCGGUUCGGAGGGCAUGUUUCAUGCAGUGCGGCUGUGAGUUUGUUAAGUGUGCAUGUUCUGUCAAAUGUAGCGUGGUUUGUUUGUGUGACCAUUAUGAGGUUCAUUAGCCUCAUCCAUUCAGUUCAUUUAGUUUGUUUCGCGC